UGCUGUGAUGAGAUCACUAAGUAGGAAGUGCCGUCAGAGUCGAUAACUGACGAUAACUGCUCCUGGCUGACU
ensembl:snoRNA Snord49a small nucleolar RNA SNORD49